CCUACGGGUGGCAGCAGUGAGGAAUAUUGGUCAAUGGACGAGAGUCUGAACCAGCCAAGUAGCGUGAAGGAUGACUGCCCUAUGGGUUGUAAACUUCUUUUAUAUGGGAAUAAAAUGUUCCACGUGUGGGAUUUUGUAUGUACAAUAUGAAUAAGGAUCGGCUAACUCCGUGCCAGCAGCCGCGGUAAUACGGAGGAUCCGAGCGUUAUCCGGAUUUAUUGGGUUUAAAGGGAGCGUAGGUGGAUUGUUAAGUCAGUUGUGAAAGUUUGCGGCUCAACCGUAAAAUUGCAGUUGAAACUGGCAGUCUUGAUUACAGUAGAGGUGGGCGGAAUUCGUGGUGUAGCGGUGAAAUGCUUAGAUAUCACGAAGAACUCCGAUUGCGAAGGCAGUUCACUGGACUGCAACUGACACUGAGGCUCGAAAGUGUGGGUAUCAAACAGGAUUAGAUACCCUAGUAGUC
rnacentral:rRNA from 1 species